rnacentral:tRNA from 1 species
ACUCCGAUAGUGUAAACAGCACUUCAGACUCUAAAACUGAGGGUACUGGCUCGAAUCUAGUUCGGAGUG